rnacentral:rRNA from 1 species
AGCGAACGCUGGCGGCAGGCCUAACACAUGCAAGUCGAACGAAGUCUCCGGACUUAGUGGCGGACGGGUGAGUAACACGUGGGAACGUGCCUUUAGGUUCGGAAUAACUCAGGGAAACUUGUGCUAAUACCGAAUGUGCCCAUCGGGGGAAAGCAUUAUCGCUUUUAGAGCGGCCCGCGUCUGAUUAGCUAGUUGGUGAGGUAAAGGCUCACCAAGGCUACGAUCAGUAGCUGGUCUGAGAGGAUGUCAAGCCACAUUGGGACUGAGACACGGCCCAAACUCCUACGGGAGGCAGCAGUGGAGAAUCUUGCGCAAUGGGCGAAAGCCUGACGCAGCCAUGCCGCGUGGAUGAUGAAGGUCUUAGGAUUGUAAAAUCCUUUCACCGGUGAAGAUAAUGACUGUAGCCGGAGAAGAAGCCCCGGCUAACUUCGUGCCAGCCGCCGCAGUAAUAC